CUUUUACGAACCGACGCUUUCAUCGCCUUGUUCAUUCGACUGUGAUUGCGUGCUAAAUGAGUGAACUAAACAUGUAGAACCAUUGGCUGAUGAUUUUCGGACGCGAGUUCGACUCUCGCCGCCUCCACCA
rnacentral:tmRNA from 1 species